rnacentral:rRNA from 1 species
UACGUAGGGUGCGAGCGUUGUCCGGAUUUACUGGGCGUAAAGAGCGCGUAGGCGGCUUGUUAAGUGUGAAGUGAAAUCUCCAGGGCUCAACCCGGAAACUGCUUUACAUACUGGCAAGCUGGAGUGAUGCAGAGGUUUGUGGAAUUCCUGGUGUAGCGGUGAAAUGUGUUGAUAUCAGGAGGAACACCCAUGGCGAAGGCAGCAAACUGGGCAUCAACUGACGCUGAGGCGCGAAAGCGUGGGUAGCAAACAGG